AUUGAACGCUGGCGGCAUGCCUUACACAUGCAAGUCGAACGGUAACAGGUUAAGCUGACGAGUGGCGAACGGGUGAGUAAUGUAUCGGAACGUGCCCAGUCGUGGGGGAUAACUGCUCGAAAGAGCAGCUAAUACCGCAUACGACCUGAGGGUGAAAGCGGGGGAUCGCAAGACCUCGCGCGAUUGGAGCGGCCGAUAUCAGAUUAGGUAGUUGGUGAGGUAAAGGCUCACCAAGCCGACGAUCUGUAGCUGGUCUGAGAGGGCGACCAGCCACACUGGGACUGAGACACGGCCCAGACUCCUACGGGAGGCAGCAGUGGGGAAUUUUGGACAAUGGGCGCAAGCCUGAUCCAGCCAUGCCGCGUGCGGGAAGAAGGCCUUCGGGUUGUAAACCGCUUUUGCCAGGGAAGAAAAGGUUCUGGCUAAUACCUGGGACUCAUGACGGUACCUGAAGAAUAAGCACCGGCUAACUACGUG
rnacentral:rRNA from 1 species